UCCCCACACCCGCUCAGCCUUCUUUCUGCAUGGAUGCUGAAGGACCAGGCUCACUUGAAGUUCUGAGUUUGAGCAGUAAGAAAAGGCUGACCAGCCUCUGGUUCCCGUACCGGUCAACUGAUUGGAGUACCUUUCCAGUUUGGAAACAUCUGGGCAGGCCCAGCUGGUAAGUUUACUUUUCUACUUUGACCAAGCAAACUGAAGCCAACAGAAGAGAAAUUUCACCAGCAUCUCCUAGCACAUCUGCUCGCCUUCUGAUGUCUGUGACCUCACUCUCGCUUCCCCACCUCUUAUUACAGGUGACAUCAAAAGCCAGAUCAUCCAAAAGUCGCCAGGGGGCCCAUCCAUCCAAUCUUCUCCGGGCUGUCUCUCCCACAUCCAUCUUCUCUGUCACUACCUCAUCUAUUUUGUUCUCCUGCUAGUUGGCUCCCAUCAGUAUAUAAAAGUCCAUCCUCUUAAAAGAAACAAACAGCACUCAUUGACCCUAAUUCGCCCCCACCAAUUGCCACCACAUG